UCGAGAAUUUUUCUCAAUGGGGGAAACCCUGAAGGAGCGACGCCGCGUGGAGGAUGAAGGUCUUCGGAUUGUAAACUCCUGUCAUUUGGGAACAAAGCCCGCAAGGGUGUGAUAGUACCAGAAGAGGAAGAGACGGCUAACUCUGUGCCAGCAGCCGCGGUAAUACAGAGGUCUCAAGCGUUGUUCGGAUUCAUUGGGCGUAAAGGGUGCGUAGGCGGCGUGGUUAGUCGGAUGUGAAAUCUUGGGGCUCAACCCCAAAACUGCAUUCGAUACUGCCAUGCUUGAAGACUGAAGAGGAGAUUGGAAUUCACGGUGUAGCAGUGAAAUGCGUAGAUAUCGUGAGGAAGACCAGUGGCGAAGGCGAAUCUCUGGGCAGAUCUUGACGCUGAUGCACGAAGGCCAGGGGAGCAAACGGG
rnacentral:rRNA from 2 species